UAAAAUAAUUAAGGGCACACAAAGGAUGCCUAGGUAGUAAGAGCCGAUGAAGGACGUGGUAAGCUGCGAUAAGCCUAGAUAAGUUGCAAUCGAACGUAAGAGUCUAGGAUUUCCGAAUGGAGCAAUCUAUUAAGAUGGAGUCUUAAUACGAAAGAGGGAACCGCGUGAACUGAAACAUCUAAGUAACGCGAGGAAAAGAAAGUAAAAACGAUACCCAAAGUAGCGGCGAGCGAAAUGGGUCAAGCCUAAACCUUAAAUAUGUCAAGGAUACAGCCGUUGUAUUUAGGGGGUUGAGGGACAGAGUAGUGAAGAACUGUAAGAUAUUCAAUAUAGUGUAUUGAUGAAUUGGAAUUGUCUGGAAAGGCGAACCGUAGAAGGUGAAAGUCCUGUACAAGUAAAUCCUUACACAUAUAACUCUGCUCCCAAGUAACAUGGAACACGAGGAAUUCUGUGUGAAUCUGUGAGGACCAUAUCUCAUAAGGCUAAAUACUCUUACUAACCGAUAGCGCAUAGUACCGUGAGGGAAAGGUGAAAAGAACCCCUGGAGGGGAGUGAAAUAGAACCUGAAAUUGUGUGCUUACAAGCGGUCAGAGCCAGUGAUGGUGAUGGCGUGCCUUUUGGAGAAUGAUCCUGCGAGUUACGUUAAACGGCGAGGUUAAGUAUAACGGAGCCGAAGGGAAACCAAGUCUUAAUAGGGCGAUUUAGUCGUUUGGCGUAGACGCGAAACCUGGUGAUCUAAACCUGUCCAGGAUGAAGCUGUGGUAAGACACAGUGGAGGUCCUAACCCACCGCCGUUGAAAAGUUGGGGGAUGAGGUAGGUUUAGGGGUGAAAAGCCAAUCGAACCAGGAGAUAGCUCGUUCUCUCCGAAAUGCAUCUAGGUGCAGCCUUGAGUGUUCAAUUAUGGGGGUAGAGCACUGAAUGAUCUAGGGGGCGUAUUGCUUACUGAAAUCAAUCAAACUCCGAAUACCAUAAUUUAGAGCUCAGGAGUGAGACUAUGGGAGUUAACUUCCAUUGUCGAAAGGGAAACAACCCAGACCACCAGCUAAGGUCCCUAAUUAUAACUAAGUGGGAAAGGAGGUGGAGAUUCACAAACAACUAGGAGGUUGGCUUAGAAGCAGCCAUACCUUUAAAGAGUGCGUAAUAGCUCACUAGUCGAGAGUCUCUGCGCCGACAAUGUAACGGGGCUAAGUUAUAAACCGAAGCUGUGGAAUCCGUAAGGAUUGGUAGGAGAGCGUUCUGUAGGCCGUUGAAGGAGAAGGGUAACCAACUCUGGAGGUAUCAGAAGUGAGAAUGCAGGAAUAAGUAGCGAGAAAGGGGGCGAGAAUCCCCCUCGCCGGAAGACCAAGGUUUUCAGGGUAAAGCUUGUCUUCCCUGAGUAAGCCGGGACCUAAGCCCAGGCUAUAAUGCGUAGGCGAAUGGAAAACAGAUUAAUAUUUCUGUGCCAGUCAUAUAUUGUGAUGGAGGGACGCAGAAGGGUAUGCGCGCGGACGAACGGAAGUGUCCGUAGAAGUAUGUAGGAUGACUUGAUAGGAAAAUCCAUUGAGUUAUAUCUGAGGUAUGAUAUACAGUCGUAAGAUGAAUGCGCAAAUCCCACGCUGCCAAGAAAAGCUUCUAACGUUAAUAUUUGACUGCCCGUACUGCAAACCGACACAGGUGGUCAGGAUGAGAAAUCUAAGGCGGACAGGCUAACUCUCGUUAAGGAACUCUGCAAAAUAACCUCGUAACUUCGGGAGAAGAGGAGCCCUUGAGGGUCAGUAUCCACGCGAUACAAAGCGCUCGAGGGUCGCAGUGAAGAGGCUCAAGCAACUGUUUAACAAAAACACAGGUCUAUGCUAAGCUGGAAGGCGAUGUAUAUGGGCUGACACCUGCCCAGUGCUGGAAGGUUAAGAGGAGGAGUGAGAGCUCCGAAUUGAAGCCCCAGUGAACGGCGGCCGUAACUAUAACGGUCCUAAGGUAGCGAAAUUCCUUGUCGGGUAAGUUCCGACCCGCACGAAAGGCGUAAUGAUUUGGGCACUGUCUCAACGAGAGACUCGGUGAAAUUUUAGUACCUGUGAAGAUGCAGGUUACCCGCGACAGGACGGAAAGACCCCAUGGAGCUUUACUGCAGUUUGAUAUUGAGUGUCUGUACCACAUGUACAGGAUAGGUAGGAGUCUAUGAGAUCGGGACGCCAGUUUCGAAGGAGACGUUGUUGGGAUACUACCCUUGUGUUAUGGCCACUCUAACCCGGAUAGGUGAUCCCUAUCGGAGACAGUGUCUGACGGGCAGUUUGACUGGGGCGGUCGCCUCCUAAAAGGUAACGGAGGCGCCCAAAGGUUCCCUCAGAAUGGUUGGAAAUCAUUCGCAGAGUGUAAAGGUAUAAGGGAGCUUGACUGCGAGAGCUACAACUCGAGCAGGGACGAAAGUCGGGCUUAGUGAUCCGGUGGUUCCGUAUGGAAGGGCCAUCGCUCAACGGAUAAAAGCUACCCUGGGGAUAACAGGCUUAUC
rnacentral:rRNA from 1 species